AUUGCCCCAGUAACGGCGAGUGAAGCGGCAACAGCUCAAAUUUGAAAUCUGGCCCCCAGGGCCCGAGUUGUAAUUUGCAGAGGAUGCUUUGGGCGCGGUGCCUUCCGAGUUCCCUGGAACGGGACGCCAUAGAGGGUGAGAGCCCCGUACGGUUGGACACCAAGCCUGUGUAAAGCUCCUUCGACGAGUCGAGUAGUUUGGGAAUGCUGCUCAAAAUGGGAGGUAUAUUUCUUCUAAAGCUAAAUAUUGGCCAGAGACCGAUAGCGCACAAGUAGAGUGAUCGAAAGAUGAAAAGCACUUUGAAAAGAGGGUUAAACAGCACGUGAAAUUGUUAAAAGGGAAGCGCUUGUGACCAGACUUGCGCCCGGCGGAUCACCCGGCUCUCGCGGCCGGGGCACUCCGCCGGCUCAGGCCAGCAUCAGCUCGCUGUCGGGGACAAAAGCUUCGGGAACGUGGCUCCCUCCGGGGAGUGUUAUAGCCCGUUGCACAAUACCCUUCGGUGGGCUGAGGUACGCGCUCCGCAAGGAUGCUGGCGUAAUGGUCAUCAGCGACCCGUCUUGAAACACGGACCAAGGAGUCAACCUUAUAUGCGAGUGUUCGGGUGUCAAACCCCUACGCGUAAUGAAAGUGAACGCAGGUGAGAGCUUCGGCGCAUCAUCGACCGAUCCUGAUGUUCUCGGAUGGAUUUGAGUAAGAGCAUAUAGGGUUGGACCCGAAAGAAGGUGAACUAUGCGUGUAUAGGGUGAAGCCAGAGGAAACUCUGGUGGAGGCUCGCAGCGGUUCUGACGUGCAAAUCGAUCGUCAAAUAUGCGCAUGGGGGGCGAAAGACUAAUCGAACCUUCUAGUAGCUGGGUUUCCGCCGAAGU
rnacentral:rRNA from 1 species